GUGAGGAAUAUUGGUCAAUGGACGGAAGUCUGAACCAGCCAUGCCGCGUGCAGGAAUAAGGUCCUAUGGAUUGUAAACUGCUUUUAUUCGGGAAUAAACCUCUUUACGUGUAGGGAGCUGAAGGUACCGAAGGAAUAAGCACCGGCUAACUCCGUGCCAGCAGCCGCGGUAAUACGGAGGGUGCAAGCGUUAUCCGGAAUCAUUGGGUUUAAAGGGUCCGCAGGCGGGCUAUCAAGUCAGAGGUGAAAUCCCACGGCUUAACUGUGGAACUGCCUUUGAAACUGAUGGUCUUGAAUUAAGUGGGCGUUGGCGGAAUAUGACAUGUAGCGGUGAAAUGCAUAGAUAUGUCAUGGAACACCGAAAGCGAAGGCAGCUAACGAUACUUAUAUUGACGCUCAUGGACGAAAGCGUGGGUAGCGAACAGGAUUAGAUACCCUUGUAGUCC
rnacentral:rRNA from 1 species